rnacentral:rRNA from 1 species
GAUGAACGCUGGCGGCGUGCCUAAUACAUGCAAGUCGAGCGAACGGACGAGAAUCUUGCUUCUCUGAUGUUAGCGGCGGACGGGUGAGUAACACGUGGAUAACCUACCUAUAAGACUGGGAUAACUUCGGGAAACCGGAGCUAAUACCGGGUAAUAUUUUGAACCGCAUUGUUCAAAAGUGAAAGACGGUCUUGCUGUCACUUAUAGAUGGAUCCGCGCUUGAUUGGCUAGUUGGUAAGGUAACGGCUUACCAAGGCAACGAUGCAUAACCGACCUGAGGGGGAGCUCGGCCGCAGUGGAACAGAGACACGGUGGAGAUUCGUACGGGAGGCAGCAGUAGGGAAUCGUACGAAAUGGGCGAAAGCCUGAAGGAGCAACGCCGCGUGAGUGCGGAAGGUCUUCGGAUCGUAAAACUCUGUUAUUAGGGAAGAACAUAUGUGUAAGUAAAUGUGCACAUCUUGCCGGUACCUAAGAAGAAAGCCACGGCUAACUACGU